AUGGCUUCUACUGGCGUGAAAGAUUUCUACCGGCAGAAGAAGAAAGGAGGUGUCGGCAAAACUUCAGCAUCUUCCAAGAAGAAAACACAGAAUUACACUGGAGGGGCCUCUGUUGGGGCCUCGAAUAAGGCUCAGACAGCAGCACUAAUUUCUCACGGAUCCUUAGACCUCAAAGAUGAUUUCAGUGAGCAAGAGGAGCAGCUGCGGCAGUUUGACAUGGACAUGAAGUUUGGCCCGUGCAUCGGUGUCAACCGGCUUCAGCGCUGGGAGCGUGCUUCCGCCAUGGGCCUCCAGCCACCGCCCCACCUUCGUGAUCUCCUAGCGCGCGCCUCCUCCGGAAACAACCGCAACAACGGCGGCCCCUCCCCUGAGUGCCUCUGGGAGGGUAAGAUCUAG
rnacentral:rRNA from 1 species